CAGAGGUUUGAAUCAUGGCUUGAUACGAAAUUAUUGGAAAGAAUAUGGCGAUGACAUCCACAAUGCCGGAUAAAGAAAAUAUUUAGAAGAUGAGAUUCCUGUGUUUCUGGCUUUCAUAACUUUUUAGAUUUCCUUUCUACUGGAAAACUUUUAACUUUGAAAACCGCAAGUAAUAUUUUUCUUCCUGAAACCUCUGCAGUGGUAGCAAUGCACUGAAGUUUGAUUAAAAGUUUACUGGUCAUUCCUGCCAUGAGAAGAUGAUAGAGAAUAUCACCACAGUGUGACUUGCUUCCAAGGCAGCAUGGUUUCAUGCAGAGGAUCUAAACUGGGGACCAUGUGCUGGGCUGCAAAAGGGCUGUGCAGUGCCUAAAAUGUUAUGCAAAAUUUUAUAAAGCCUCGUCUUUCCCUUGAACUCCAUAAUUAUGUAUGCAACUUCAUCUUCAGCAUCUUCAGUUGGAUGUCUAAUUCCAAACUGCACAUGUACAGGAGACGUUUUGACCGUUUUCCCACAAACUUGACCUAUCCACAGGCUUUUUCAUCUCUGUUUUGGCAUUUACAUAGGUAAGAAUAAAUAAAUAUAUCUCUGUGCAAUCAUCAA
rnacentral:lncRNA from 10 species